AGAUUAAACUGAAGAGUUUGAUCAUGGCUCAGAUUGAACGCUGGCGGCAGGCUUAACACAUGCAAGUCGAGCGGUAACAGAUCUAGCUUGCUAGAUGCUGACGAGCGGCGGACGGGUGAGUAACGCGUAGGAACCUGC
rnacentral:rRNA from 2 species